CAAGACAGCCUUUGGCUUUGCUUUCAGCUCUGCUUCCUUGAACUGAAUAUGAAACUGACUUUGGGAGCCUUCCAAGAUUUACAAAACUAAUAUGAAAAAGUAUGGGAAAACAUCAUUAUGGAAAAUAGUAUUAAGAAGAUGGCCUUUUUCAUGCAGAAGACUUUGAUCUGGAAGGUGGUAAGUUAAUUUUCUUUUUUGUAUGUGGUGAAUGGGGUAAAGUAUUACCAGUAUGUG
rnacentral:lncRNA from 11 species